rnacentral:rRNA from 1 species
UACGUAGGCAGCAAGCGUUGUUCGGAGUUACUGGGCGUAAAGAGUGCGUAGGUGGUGCCCUAAGUCUGUUGUGAAAUCUCCCGGCUUAACUGGGAGGGUGCGGUGGAAAAUGGGGUGCUUGAGUGUGGGAGAGGUAAGCGGAAUUCCUGGUGUAGCGGUGAAAUGCGUAGAUAUCAGGAGGAACACCGGUGGUGUAGACGGCUUACUGGACCACGACUGACACUGAGGCACGAAAGCGUGGGUAGCAAACAGG